ACCAAAGAAAUAUAAGAAUAAAUUGUGCUUAGUUUGGUUUUCUUAUUCCCUUAUAUUGGAAAGAGGCAUCUACGGAGUCAUAGAAGACAAUUUGUUGGAGCUUCCUGAGCAUUUUAAGAAAUUCAAUAUUAUCCCUGGGGAUAUGACAGCUACAAGUUGACUGUCAAAUAUUUAUUGACAAAACUAUCUCCAAAGAUGAUCUCGUUAUAUGUUUUUUCUUGGGCUUUCACGGUUUGGACAUUUAAAGUCAUUUAUCCCCUCUGAAAGUAGGUCAAGGAUUAUCCAGAUGAGGUUUCUCAUCCAAGAAUCCUUAGGUGGUUGGCUGCAAAGAGCAACACAAGAAAUAAGGAGGUUGAUCUCUGUAAUCCUCUGGAUGAUGCAAUAAGUCUUCUUUCAAGUAAAAUAAUUUGGCUCAAAGAAAUAUAUUGAAACAGAUCAUCCAUCUGUUGCGACAAAUGGAUCAUCUUUGCAAUUUAUUUUAAUAGAUUGCCCAUCUACUACCACUGGUGCAACAGAUAGGUAAUCUAUUAUGGCAGAUGAGUUAUAUUUUGUAACAGAUUACUCAUCUGUUGUGUUUGGAACUUGGCCUUCUUUCGAAGAUAGUAAAAACUGACAUCGAUGUGCUGUACAUAUUAUCAAAUAUUUUAGAUUAUGUAAUAAUAAAAUUAAUAAACAGAUACAAUUAAAUAUAGAAUUAAUAGUAAGAUAAUGUAUGAGAUUUAAACCUCAUCAUUCCAGCAAGGUUGGGGCUGUGACCUCAAAUAGAACCAAUUAUUCAGUCUGGGAUGUGCAACAACAAAGUUAAAUACAUCAAAACCAAGACCCCAUUGGUUUACUUUGUAGUGUUA